UUACGGCCACAUCACACUGAAACACUGAUUCUCAUACAAUCACCAAAGUUAAGCAAUGUCAUGCCUGAUCAUUACCUAGAUAAGUGACCCCUUGGGAAUACCAGGUGCUGUAAU